GGGGUCGUGGCUCAGUGGUAGAGUGUUUGCCUAGCAUGCAUGAGGCACUGGGUUCAAUCCCUGACACCA
rnacentral:tRNA from 1 species